rnacentral:lncRNA from 1 species
GACGUCAGGGCCCUCGGGCCCCGCCCCCCAGCAGGCCGAGGACCAAUCCGCAGAGGGUGCAGGGUCUGAGGGGAGGGGCAGAGCCCGGGCCCCACGGAGGGCGGAGGGGGUACCCGGGAGAAGCAGAGAUUGGAAGGAGGAGCAGGGGGCCUGCCCUCCACCCCCACACUCUGGGCCCGAGACUCCUCGCUCCUCCUCGCCUCGCCUCGCCUCGAGUCUCUGGCUCCGACCUCUCUACUCCCUUGUUUCUGACCUGUGCUCCGUGGUGUCUCUGAUCUCCCCCUGCCGCCAGGGGAAAGGAGGAACAUCCCUCCCAGGACUCACUCACACCUAUUCUCCAACUCUGCCUACCUGCUCAAUUCACCUGAUGCUCUGCCAGUGGAUUGCUGAUGUCUCUACAUUGAUUCAGAUUUGCACCCACAUCUGAAAAUGGUCAGCAGGCAGGGACCCUCUGUCACCACAGGUGGAGGAAGAGGAGAUGAAAGAGCCUUGUCUGACACCCUGGAGACUGGGAAACUACCCAGACUGUGUCCUCUCCCUCUUACUCUCCUAAAGGAAGACAAGGAAGACAAUGACAAAUGGCGUUUGCAGCAAAGCAACACCAACAGCCAACUUGAUGCUCAAGAGAGAACGCUAUGCCUCUUCCUCAUGGUUUCCAGUGCUCUACACAUUCUGAGAAACUUUUCUGGUUCUACUUCUGGAGGGAACCCAAACCAACACAUUUGAUAUCCAAAGUUGUCCUAGGAAGUAGACCCCCAGGAUAAGAUUCUGGUUUUGGAUCACUCAUCAUCCAGAUGGCCCAAAGAUUCCAUUGCUGAGUAGAGACGGGUUUUCACCAUGUUGACCAGUCUGGUCUCAAACUCAUGACCUCAAGUGAUCCAUCUGCCUUGGCCUCCCAAAGUGCUGAGAUUACAGGAGUGAGCCAUCACGCCUGGCCUGGGAUUUAACAUUUUAAAGCUUGGCAAGGACACCAGAAGCCUGUUGCAAUAUGCCCCCGGGAUAGAUCUUCAAAGUGUGGAAAAACUAUGAGUUCCAGCAAAUGAGGUAGAGAUGUUGGAACUUCCUUGACAGAAUACUUGGAAGAAUAAAGGCUCAGAAAAGUGGGCAUGCCAGAAUAAAAUGACUAUUAUAUAAGACUAUAGAACCCUCCAGCCUACUGUGUUCUUCAUGAGGGCCCAGAAAUACUCAAUAAAUAAAGUGAUACAAAAGGUGCUAGUUGGAACAGGGCCACUGGCAUUUGCAGGUCAGUGGUAGCUGUCCUCAGCAGGCCAGAGCAAUGGUAGCGGGAGCUGCUAUGGGACUAGCCUUUCUAGAGUCAGUGGGUAUAACAGGAGUCCAGAACGAGGUCAGGCGACAGCACGUGGUCAUGAGAGGCUAAGUGGACAUAAUUACCGUAAUAGGCAGAAAGACCAGAAAUGUAAGCAGGGAUCUAUUGUGAUGACCAAGAGACCAUGGUGUUCCCAGAUAGGAGGAUGGUGAAGGAGGGUAUCUCUUGCUUAUAAAAACAAGCAAGAAUGAGACAGCAGAAGGCUGAAGUUAGCCACUGCAAAGGAAAAUCCCCAUCCCAUACCCAGUUUCCAGGCCCAAACCAGUUUUCAGAUAUAGAGCCCUUUGUCUUUUUUUUUUUUU